rnacentral:rRNA from 1 species
AAGAUUAAGCCAUGCAUGUCUAAGUAUAAGCAAUUAUACAGCGAAACUGCGAAUGGCUCAUUAUAUAAGUUAUCGUUUAUUUGAUAGUGCCUUACUACUUGGAUAACCGUGGUAAUUCUAGAGCUAAUACAUGCUACAAGCCCUGACUUCGGAAGGGGCGUAUUUAUUAGAUUAAAAACCAAUGCCCUCUGGGCUCCUUGGUGAAUCAUGAUAACUUCACGAAUCGCACGGCCUUGUGCCGGCGAUGGCUCAUUCAAAUUUCUUCCCUAUCAACUUUCGAUGUUUGGGUAGUGGCCAAACAUGGUUGCAACGGGUAACGGAGGGUUAGGGCUCGACCCCGGAGAAGGAGCCUGAGAAACGGCUACUACAUCCAAGGAAGGCAGCAGGCGCGCAAAUUACCCAAUCCCGAUUCGGGGAGGUAGUGACAAUAAAUACUGAUACAGGGCUCUUUCGGGUCUUGUAAUCGGAAUGAGUACAAUUUAAAUCCCUUAACGAGGAACAAUUGGAGGGCAAGUCUGGUGCCAGCAGCCGCGGUAAUUCCAGCUCCAAUAGCGUAUAUUAAAGUUGUUGUGGUUAAAAAGCUCGUAGUUGAACCUUGGGCCUGGCUGGCCGGUCCGCCUCACCGCGUGUACUGGUCCGGCCGGGCCUUUCCCUCUGUGGAACCUCAUGCCCUUCACUGGGUGUGCUGGGGAAACAGGACUUUUACUUUGAAAAAAUUAGAGUGCUCCAGGCAGGCCUAUGCUCGAAUACAUUAGCAUGGAAUAAUAGAAUAGGACGUGUGGUUCUAUUUUGUUGGUUUCUAGGACCGCCGUAAUGAUUAAUAGGGACAGUCGGGGGCAUCAGUAUUCAAUUGUCAGAGGUGAAAUUCUUAGAUUUAUUGAAGACUAACUACUGCGAAAGCAUUUGCCAAGGAUGUUUUCAUUAAUCAGGAACGAAAGUUAGGGGAUCGAAAACGAUCAGAUACCGUUGUAGUCUUAACCAUAAACUAUGCCGACUAGGGAUCGGACGAUGUUAUUUUUUGACUCGUUCGGCACCUUACGAGAAAUCAAAGUGCUUGGGCUCCAGGGGGAGUAUGGUCGCAAGGCUG